ACGGCCACACCAUGCUGAAUAUACCGGUUCUCGUUAGAUCACCGAAGUCAACCAUCAUUGGGCGCGGGUGGGUGACCACCUGGAAACACUGCGUGCCGU